rnacentral:rRNA from 1 species
UGGGGAUACGACUAACACUCAUCACCCUGUGA